AUGAUAAUUUGAAUAUAAAUUUUAUUUAUUUGUUUAUUUCUAAAUUAGUUCGUGUAUCAGUGUAUUUAUGUAGACGAGGAUUAAGCUCUGUACAAGGUGCGCAAGCCGCACGUCUUUGUGACGUGGCAGUGGGGAGGUGAGGUGAGGUGGCAGCAGGGUGAUGAGGUGGCGACGAACGGUCAGACAGGGUUAGUUGCUGUCCGCCCUAACCUGAAGUGUGUUGUGAUGGAUCACUGGAUGUAAUAUUUAUUCAAGAUUUGGGAUUAUUCUAUUAUGCUGUUUAUGAAUCCAACUACUCGUUCGGAAAGUUCAUGGAGGCAAUCCAUAUGCGGCUGGAGCUACCGUUGUGAGUUAUAAUUCUAAUGAUUAUUGUCCAAACGCUUGUAAUAAAGAAGUUAUGGCAGUGUUCAAGCUGUGUUAAUGGAUGCCUCUAUACAUUUGGACAACGCUCUAGGAUGGCAGAAGUGGAUUCAGGGAAGAUGGAGGAACUCGAGAUACAACGAGGCACCACCAAGAGAAAGUUUACCAGGAAGAGCAACAUUUUCAAGGAAAGUGUACUGCAAGAGGAUCCUAUACCAGUGCUACAACACAAUUAUGAUGAGGCCCACCCUUGUGGAUGCUACCAGCGCCUGAGGUGAGCUUUACCCCUACAACCAAGUCGGAUCCGCCUCCUCUCCAGCUGCAGCUGGCCUUGGAACACGUGGCGACAGUGACGUCCUCCAUCACAGCUCCUCAUCGCCUCUACACUGACGGGUUCCUCCAGUCGGAUGGAGCGGCUGGUGGUGCAGUUUUCUCACCUGACUUGGAACCACCUCCAGGUGGCUGGGUCGCCCGUCAGCUCGGAGACCACUCCAGAUCAACGUUGUGUGAGCUCUAUGCUAUCUUGGAUGCUGUUAGCCUCGUGUGUCAGAGGGGAGUGAAUGCAGUUGUUAUUUGUGACUCAAAGCCGGCCCUUCUGUCUCUUUCUGCUACCUGUCCCACCCACCUAAUAUUAGUUCAACAGAUUCUUUCCUUUUAGCAUUAAUGACUGCUCGUAAUGUGUGUGUAAAGUCUAUAUUGGUAAUAUCUCAUGUUGGUUUACGUCACAAUGCUAUAGCUAACCGCCUAGCGAAGGAUGCCUGCCGCCUACCUCCGCGUGGUGAUGGUCGUCCUCUCUCCCUGUCAUGCCACCUCUCCAGGGUCCGCUCCGCCGCUCUCCUACCUAUGCGGCGUCGCAGGGAUACUGAGAGGCCCCACAGUAUCACCAUCAACCAUUACAAGUCCGUCUGCCGCCACAAGUACACGUACCGUUGCCGGGGUCUUACGGUUCGGCGGCACAACAUUGUCUCGGCGCGUCUGCGGCUGGGCUACCGUCCGCCGUGGCAGAUUGCCGGGGUGGAGAGUGUCGCCUGUGCCGCGCACCGCUUGCCAACACCAUCGAGCACUACUGCCUGGUGUGCCCCACUGUUCGGCACCUCCUACCCCAAGGUCUGCCGCUGGAUGCUGUCUGUCGCCAUAUUCUGGUGCCAGAUUUUCUCGAUGAGAUUCUCGUGCGUUACCCUCGAUUUGGUGGCUUUUCCUGAUGCCCUGUGCCCUGCGUGGCAUCGGUGGCUUUUGUGUGAGUGUGGAUUGGUGGGUGGGGUGCGCGAAUGGGUGAGUGUGUGAGCGUACCAUUUGCUUUAGCCUUCAACUGUAAUUAAGUUUCUCUAUCUUAUGAUG